rnacentral:rRNA from 1 species
UACAGAGGUCCCAAGCGUUGUUCGGAAUUACUGGGCGUAAAGGGCUCGUAGGUGGCCAACUAAGUCAGACGUGAAAUCCCUCGGCUUAACCGGGGAACUGCGUCUGAUACUGGAUGGCUUGAGGUUGGGGAGAGGGAUGCGGAAUUCCAGGUGUAGCGGUGAAAUGCGUAGAUAUCUGGAGGAACACCGGUGGCGAAGGCGGCAUCCUGGACCAAUUCUGACACUGAGGAGCGAAAGCCAGGGGAGCAAACGGG